rnacentral:rRNA from 1 species
GAUGAACGCUGGCGGCGUGCCUAAUACAUGCAAGUCGAGCGAACGGACGAGAAGCUUGCUUCUCUGAUGUUAGCGGCGGACGGGUGAGUAACACGUGGAUAACCUACCUAUAAGACUGGGAUAACUUCGGGAAACCGGAGCUAAUACCGGAUAAUAUUUUGAACCGCAUGGUUCAAAAGUGAAAGACGGUCUUGCUGUCCCUUAUAGAUGGAUCCGCGCUGCAUUAGCUAGUUGGUAAGGUAACGGCUUACCAAGGCAACGAUGCAUAGCCGACCUGAGAGGGUGAUCGGCCACACUGGAACUGAGACACGGUCCAGACUCCUACGGGAGGCAGCAGUAGGGAAUCUUCCGCAAAGGGCGAAAGCCUGACGGAGCAACGCCGCGUGAGUGAUGAAGGUCUUCGGAUCGUAAAACUCUGUUAUUAGGGAAGAACAUAUGUGUAAGUAACUGUGCACAUCUUGACGGUACCUAAUCAGAAAGCCACGGCUAACUACGUG